AAGGAUGGACUCCUUUGCAUAUCGCUGUUCAAAGUCGGAAUAGAGACAUUGCAAAGAUCUUGUUGAUCAAUGGCGCUGACAAAACCAGAAGAACGAAGGACGGGAAAACAGCUUUGGAUUUGGCUCUGUGUUACGGAAGAGAUUUCAAGUCAUAUGAUCUUGCCAAGCUGUUGAAGAUUUUACCUGCAGUCUGAGAUCUGUAAGACAGCAACAGUUUGAUUUGAGAACCAUCCGGUUUAGCAAACCGGUACGCCCUUAUUUGGUUUAAACCAUUGAUCGGUUUUAAGAGUUUUGGAAAUCUGGCCAAACCGAUCGGUUUGAACCGGGUUAGAUGGAAGAAAUCUGAUUUGGUUUGUAACACUAAACUCAUGUUUGCACAUACAUGUUCUUAUUUAUUAAAAUCCAAAAAAUCAUGCAUAAUUAUA